rnacentral:rRNA from 1 species
AUUGAACGCUGGCGGCAGGCCUAACACAUGCAAGUCGAGCGGAUGAAGGGAGCUUGCUCCUGGAUUCAGCGGCGGACGGGUGAGUAAUGCCUAGGAAUCUGCCUGGUAGUGGGGGAUAACGUCCGGACACGGGCGCUAAUACCGCAUACGUCCUGAGGGCGAACGUGGGGGAUCUUCGGACCUCACGCUAUCAGAUGAGCCUAGGUCGGAUUAGCUAGUUGGUGGGGUAAAGGCCUACCAAGGCGACGAUCCGUAACUGGUCUGAGAGGAUGAUCAGUCACACUGGAACUGAGACACGGUCCAGACCCCUACGGGAGGCAGCAGUGGGGAAUAUUGGACAAUGGGCGAAAGCCUGAUCCAGCCAUGCCGCGUGUGUGAAGAAGGUCUUCGGAUUGUAAAGCACUUUAAGUUGGGAGGAAGGGCAGUAAGUUAAUACCUUGCUGUUUUGACGUUACCAACAGAAUAAGCACCGGCUAACUUCGUG